UACGUAGGAGGCGAGCGUUGUCCGGAAUUACUGGGCGUAAAGGGCGCGUAGGCGGCGUGACAAGUCACUUGUGAAAUCUCCGGGCUUAACUCGGAACGGUCAAGUGAUACUGUCGUGCUAGAGUACAGAAGGGGCAACUGGAAUUCUCGGUGUAGCGGUGGAAUGCGCAGAUAUCAGGAGGAACACCGGUGGCGAAGGCGGGUCUCUGGGCAGUAACUGACGCUGAGGAGCGAAAGCGUGGGGAGCGAACAGG
rnacentral:rRNA from 1 species